GCAAGUCGAGCGCGCCCUUCGGGGUGAGCGGCGGACGGGUGAGUAACGCGUGGGAAUAUGCCCUUCUCUAAGGAAUAGCCUCGGGAAACUGAGAGUAAUACCUUAUACGCCCUUCGGGGGAAAGAUUUAUCGGAGAAGGAUUGGCCCGCGUUAGAUUAGAUAGUUGGUGGGGUAACGGCCUACCAAGUCGACGAUCUAUAGCUGGUUUGAGAGGAUGAUC
rnacentral:rRNA from 1 species